rnacentral:rRNA from 1 species
CGAAAUGCGAUAAGUAAUGUGAAUUGCAGAAUUCAGUGAAUCCUCGAAUCUUUGAACGCACAUUGCGCCCAUUAGUAUUCUAGUGGGCAUGCGUGUUCGAGCGUCA